UAGGGAAUCUUCCACAAUGGGCGAAAGCCUGAUGGAGCAACGCCGCGUGUGUGAUGAAGGGUUCCGGCUCGUAAAACACUGUUGUAAGAGAAGAAUGACAUUGAGAGUAACUGUUCAAUGUGUGACGGUAUCUUACCAGAAAGGAACGGCUAAAUACGUGCCAU
rnacentral:rRNA from 1 species